GCAGGAUUUGCUCAGUCAGUAGAGCUUGAGACUCUUAAUCUCAGGGUCGUGGGUUCGAGUCCCACAUUGAGCA